rnacentral:tRNA from 1 species
UGGAGUAUAGCUCAAUGGUAAAAUGCCUGCCUAGCAUGCAUGUGGCCCUGGGUUCAAUUCCUAGUGCCACAC